UACGGAGGGUGCAAGCGUUAUCCGGAUUUACUGGGUUUAAAGGGUGUGUAGGCGGACUAUUAAGUCAGCGGUGAAAUCUCCGGGCUCAACCCGGAAACUGCCAUUGAUACUAUUAGUCUUGAAUGUUGUUGAGGUGGGCGGAACGGGUCAUGUAGCGGUGAAAUGCAUAGAUAUGACCCGGAACACCGAUUGCGAAGGCAGCCCACUAAGCAACGAUUGACGCUGAGGCACGAAAGCGUGGGGAUCAAAUAGG
rnacentral:rRNA from 1 species